GAUGAACGCUAGCGGCAGGCUUAAUACAUGCAAGACGAACGGUAAGAUUUGUAGCAAUACGAAUCCUAGAGUGUCGUAAGGGUGCGUAACACGUAUGCAAUCUGCCCUGUACAGGAGUAUAGCUCCCCGAAAGGGGAAUUAACCCUCCAUAAUAUGAUUGUUCGGCAUCGGGCGAUCAUUAAAACUGAGGUGGUACAGGAUGAGCAUGCGUCUGAUUAGCUAGUUGGUGAGGUAACGGCUCACCAAGGCGAUGAUCAGUAGGGGAACUGAGAGGCUGAUCCCCCACACUGGGCACUGAGAUACGGGCCAGACUCCUACGGGAGGCAGCAGUAGGGAAUAUUGGACAAUGGGGUGAGAGCCUGAUCCAGCCAUGCCGCGUGCAGGGAAGACGGGCCUUCUGGGUUGUAAACUGCUUUUAUCUGGGGAUAAAAAGGCCUUUGCGAGGCAAAACUGAAAGGUACCAGAUG
rnacentral:rRNA from 1 species